UACGUAGGGUGCAAGCGUUGUCCGGAAUUAUUGGGCGUAAAGAGCUUGUAGGCGGUUUGUCGCGUCUGCUGUGAAAAUCCGGGGCUCAACCCCGGACUUGCAGUGGGUACGGGCAGACUAGAGUGCGGUAGGGGAGACUGGAAUUCCUGGUGUAGCGGUGGAAUGCGCAGAUAUCAGGAGGAACACCGAUGGCGAAGGCAGGUCUCUGGGCCACUACUGACGCUGAGAAGCGAAAGCAUGGGGAGCGAACAGG
rnacentral:rRNA from 1 species